GAAAUUGGUGGGGGGGGACCGCGAAGCGAUAACACUAAGCCAAGCCCCAUCAUCCCAUACGACAGUGGACCAGCCAAAAGCCCCGCAUCUCGCCAUCACCCUUCGGGACUCGCACUCUGUGUUUGAGGAGAGCUUUCAUGGAAUUUGGACUCCAUAAAGGGAAAGGGAAAAGGGAAAAGUUCUCUAGACCUUUCGGGCUCUUUUAGGUGGGAACAUCGUGCGUGACUCGUCAUCUGCCGUUCUUUUUAUCGGGUUUCGACUCUUGCUGAGACGAAGAUCGGGCCUCACGAGAACGCGGAGGAGGACGUAGGCUUGCUCCAUCUGCAAAGGGAAACGAUGCAUGUGACCUGAGGGACUUUACGUGCGUCCAUACACGUGAAUCGAUCGGACCCGAUUCGAGGGGCUGGUGUUCCUCCUUGUUAUCCGUAAAGGAAAAGGAGGGUUUCGAAACGGAACGGUGCUCCUUCACGGAUUGGUCAUCAUCUGAAGGGUCGAGAACAUGCGGUGUUUGAGCAC
rnacentral:lncRNA from 1 species